CACGUAAGGGGCGAGCGUUGUUCGGAAUUAUUGGGCGCAAAGGGCGCGUAGGCGGUUCUGCAAGCCCGGCGUGAAAAUCUGGAGCUUAACUCCGGAACUGCGUUGGGAACUGCGGGACUAGAGUCAUAGAAGGGGAGUUGGAAGUCCAGGUGUAGGGGUGAAAUCUGUAGAUAUCUGGAAGAACACCGGUGGCGAAGGCGACCUCCUGGCUACUGACUGACGCUGAGGCGCGAAAGUGCGGGGAGCAAACCGG
rnacentral:rRNA from 1 species